GACGAACGCUGGCGGCGCGCUUCACACAUGCAAGUCGAACGAGAAGCUCGGGCUUGCCCGGGUGGAAAGUGGCGAACGGGUGAGUAACACGUGAGCAACCUGCCCCGAAGACCGGGAUAACACCGGGAAACCGGUGCUAAUACCGGAUGUCCUCGCCGAACCGCAUGAUUUGGCGAGGAAAUGGUCAGCCGCUUCGGGAUGGGCUCGCGGCCUAUCAGCUUGUUGGUGGGGUCACGGCCCACCAAGGUGACGACGGGUAGCUGGUCUGAGAGGAUGUCCUGCCACACUCGGACGGAGACCCGGGCCAGACUCCUACGGGCGGGAGCAGUGGGGAAUCUUGCGCAAUGGGCGAAAGCCUGACGCAGCGACGCCGCGUGCGGGAUGAAGGCCUUCGGGUUGUAAACCGCUUUCAGCAGGGACGAAAUUGACGGUACCUGCAGAAGAAGCCCCGGCCAACUACGUGCCAGCCGCCGCAGUAAUAC
rnacentral:rRNA from 1 species